AUACGGAGGGUGCAAGCGUUACUCGGAAUCACUGGGCGUAAAGCGCGCGCAGGCGGUCUUUUAAGUUGGAUGUGAAAGCCUACGGCUCAACCGUAGAACUGCAUCCAAAACUAUUAGACUAGAGUGUGGGAGAGGAAGAUGGAAUUAGUUGUGUAGGGGUAAAAUCCGUAGAGAUAACUAGGAAUACCAAAAGCGAAGGCAAUCUUCUGGAACACUACUGACGCUGAGGCGCGAAAGCGUGGGGAGCAAACAGGAUUAGAUACCCCAGUAGUCC
rnacentral:rRNA from 1 species